GCCCGCUUGGCGGAACAGGCAGACGCAUCGGACUUAAAAUCCGAAGGCCGCGAGGCUGUGCCGGUUCGAGUCCGGCAGCGGGCACCA
rnacentral:tRNA from 1 species